AACAAACGCUGGCGGUGCGUUUUAAGCAUGCAAGUCGGACGGCAAGAGCCGUAGCAAUAUGGCUCCUAGAGUGGCGAACGGGUGAGUAACACGUAGGUGAUCUGCCCUUGGAUGGGGGAUAGUCCGUGGAAACACGGGGUAAUACCGCAUGAGGCCUUGUGGGUAGAGCCAUGAGGUGAAAGGUGCAAUUGCACCGUCUGGGGAUAAGCCUGCGGUCCAUUAGGUAGUUGGCGGGGUAAGGGCCCACCAAGCCUGCGAUGGAUAGCCGGCCUGAGAGGGUGUACGGCCACAAUGGAACUGAGACACGGUCCAGACUCCUACGGGAGGCAGCAGCUAAGAAUCUUCCGCAAUGGGGGAAACCCUGACGGAGCGACGCCGCGUGGACGAUGGAGGCCGUAAGGUUGUAAAGUCCUUUUCCUGGUGAAGAAUGACCGUGGGAGUGGAAAGCCCAUGGGAUGACGUUAGCCAGGGAAUAAGCCCCGGCCAAUUACGUGCCAGCAGCCGCAGUAAAAC
rnacentral:rRNA from 1 species